AUGAUGUAUGCCAGCAUUUUUCUCUGGCGAUCCGAGAUACGGUGUCUAGAUCGAAAAUGAAUAAGGGUUGGUUAGUGUUUAUAUUGAUUUGCAUGUUGGUGGAGAAGAUACUAUUAUGGAGUAUAAGGUGUUGGAGUGCGUUGUUUGCGCAUAUUGAUUAGUAUGAGGAAGAUGCUGUGCACCGGUUUGUUGGAAGCUGCAUGAUGACUUGCUUUUUGAAAUUAAAGAUUUC
rnacentral:lncRNA from 1 species